UCAAAACGACUCUCGGCAGCGGAUAUCUCGGCUCUCGCAUCGAUGAAGARCGUAGCAAAGCGCGAUAUUUGGUGUGAGUUGCAGAAUCCCGUGAACCAUCGAGUUUUUGAACGCAAGUUGCGCCCGAGGCCAGUAGGCCGAGGGCACGUCUGCAUGGGCGUCAC
rnacentral:rRNA from 1 species